AAUGAACUUGGACGUGCAGUAGUCUUGUAAAGUAAAGAGUUUUAUUAUAAUGAAGAUUUAGUAAAAAGUGAUGAAGAAAUUACUUUAAUAGAUACAGUGUAAGAUUUGGUAGAUGAAGAUUGUGAAUUGAGACUGAAUGGUUGGAAUAUAGACGCUAAAGCUAUUAUUGCACUUCACCGCAAAUUGCUAAUCAUCACUGUUCAAAAUGUUCUGGUUACUUCUAUUCCUGAGUAUGCCUAAUAGAUCAAUCCAAGUAGGUCUAGUAGGCAACCCUUUAGCUCACGCCUAUCCUUGUGAAGAUAAUCACAACAUAACAGCCACUUUUGAAUCCGGUCUACCACCAGGUGAAGAGAAUCAGUAUUAUUUGAAUAUUAAAGGGACAAUACAAAAGUAUUCGCAAAUUAAUUUGAAGUUUGAUUCUGAUGCUACUGUUGUUUUGUCGGAUCCAAUGAAAGCUCGAAUAACUGCGUACACCAAUUCAAACUCAUUCAACGUGAGAUUCUUUAAAGGAUCUCCUAAUCUAAAUAUUAACGUCAGAGGACCAGCCACAGGUACAAUACCGUACGUCCAAAGCAUUAUACUGGACAAUGACGAAAUCUGUAACAAGCCCUCAUCUGGUUAUUUCGACUCACUUAUUGAAGGCGUCAAAGAUACAGCUGAAAUCACCCUGACAGUACCAGCUGAUCAAUCUUGUGGAAGACGUAAGGUAGUCCAUACAGAACUGAUAGUCCAUGGCCAGCCAACGAAGUCAGGAGACUGGCCCUGGCAUGUGGCUUUGUUCACAGUUGAGGGGAAUAUUGUUAAGUACAUAUGCGGAGGAACUUUACUGUCCAAGACUUUGGUUUUAACAGCUGCUCACUGCGCAUCAAUUAGAGGGAAUGCAGUUGUUCCUAAAUCUUUGAGUGUUAUUCUUGGAAAACAUAAUCUUAUUGGUGGAGAUGUUGCACCACAAGAAAGAGAGGUAUUCGAAAUUAUUCUUCACAAGGAGUUUGAUCCCAGAACUUUGAAUAAUGAUAUUGCUUUAUUGAAAUUGAAGUCUGAAGCAGUAUUUGAUGAUUACGUUCAACCAGCUUGCUUGUGGCAGUCCAGUCUCUACAAGAAACUGCCGAGUGGUGGCAUUUAUGGAUCGGUGGUAGGAUGGGGGUUCGACCAUCAGGACAUAUUAUCGACCACUCUGCAACAAAUUACUAUUCCUAUAGUAUCGGAGGCGACGUGUUUGAAGAGUAAUCCUGUCUUCUUUCACAAUAAACUUAAUACUAACAAGUUCUGUGCGGGUUUUGCUAAUGGGACGUCAGCUUGCAAUGGUGACAGUGGAGGUGGUCUAGUAGUCUUCGUGCCAGAUGUUCCAGGUGCCAAGACUCAAGAGUCUGGCGCUUGGCACGUUCGUGGUAUCGUUUCUACUACAGUCAGCAGGACAGACGCACCCAUAUGUGACCCUAAUCAGUACACAUUGUUCACUGAUGUGGCGAAAUAUCGAAGGUGGAUUCUGAGUUACUUGGAUUAGAGUUUAAAACUGAAUAAAGGAAUGAAAACGCGGCGAACGUUCCGGUUACAGCGAUAAUUAUAUAAUCACCGAAGUUCAAUGAACUGAAUGUCUGAAAAACGAAGAUUCAAACAACUAACUUUGCUCUCAAGACAAGCGGAGGGGUGAGAGAAAAAAUAUAAAUUGCCCCCAUGCUCUU